UCCAGUUCGUCCGAGCAUGAUAAAACAGAAAACACGCAAAGAAAGAUACUGACCUAAUAUCUUCGUGAGUGUGUGGCUCCGUUGGAUUGUCAACGCCGCCGGCAGACAAAUCGUUGCAAAAUGCUGCAAGAAAAACGACCCAUUGAAAUGUAUAUCGGUUGAAAACGGCUGCGUCGCGAAAUAGGUUAAGAUCACGAUGUACGAGACAGUUGCUCAGUGAAUUCCCGUUGCAAGGUUACGUUUUCUGCGUGUUCAGCGCCGCUUUCGAAAGACAUUUCAUACGGACGCGAGUCACCUUAGCCGGCGGACAAGAUGGUAUAAAAUCUAGGUUAGGAUUGUGCACGUGUGUAAAGCCUAAACGUUCCAAUUACCGAAAUAACUUUCAGUUACCGGCGCAAAGACGUUCUC